GGGAGGUAGCUUAGUGUUAGAGCACUUACCUAACAUGUACGAGGCUCUGGGUUUGAUCCCCAGUACUACCA
rnacentral:tRNA from 1 species